rnacentral:rRNA from 1 species
AAGUCGUAACAAGGUCUCCGUAGGUGAACCUGCGGAGGGAUCAUUACAAGAACGCCCGGGCUUCGGCCUGGUUAUUCAUAACCCUUUGUUGUCCGACUCUGUUGCCUCCGGGGCGACCCUGCCUUCGGGCGGGGGCUCCGGGUGGACACUUCAAACUCUUGCGUAACUUUGCAGUCUGAGUAAACUUAAUUAAUAAAUUAAAACUUUUAACAACGGAUCUCUUGGUUCUGGCAUCGAUGAAGAACGCAGCGAAAUGCGAUAAGUAAUGUGAAUUGCAGAAUUCAGUGAAUCAUCGAAUCUUUGAACGCACAUUGCGCCCCCUGGUAUUCCGGGGGGCAUGCCUGUUCGAGCGUCAUUUCACCACUCAAGCCUCGCUUGGUAUUGGGCAACGCGGUCCGCCGCGUGCCUCAAAUCGUCCGGCUGGGUCUUCUGUCCCCUAAGCGUUGUGGAAACUAUUCGCUAAAGGGUGUUCGGGAGACUACGCCGUAAAACAACCCCAUUUCUAAGGUUGACCUCGGAUCAGGUAGGGAUACCCGCUGAACUUAA